rnacentral:rRNA from 1 species
UACGGAGGGGACUAGCGUUGUUCGGAAUUACUGGGCGUAAAGCGCACGUAGGCGGAUUUGUAAGUCAGGGGUGAAAUCCCGGGGCUCAACCUCGGAACUGCCUUUGAUACUGCAAAUCUCGAGUCCGGAAGAGGUGAGUGGAAUUCCUAGUGUAGAGGUGAAAUUCGUAGAUAUUCGGAAGAACACCAGUGGCGAAGGCGACACACUGGCUCACUACUGACGCUGAGGCGCGAAAGCGUGGGGAGCAAACAGG